rnacentral:rRNA from 1 species
AGAGUUUGAUCCUGGCUCAGAUCGAACGCUGGCGGCAGGCCUAACACAUGCAAGUCGAACGGUAACAGGAAGCAGCUUGCUGCUUUGCUGACGAGUGGCGGACGGGUGAGUAAUGUCUGGGAAACUGCCCGAUGGAGGGGGAUAACUACUGGAAACGGUAGCUAAUACCGCAUAACGUCGCAAGACCAAAGAGGGGGACCUUCGGGCCUCUUGCCAUCGGAUGUGCCCAGAUGGGAUUAGCUAGUUGGUGUGGUAACGGCUCACCAAGGCGACGAUCCCUAGCUGGUCUGAGAGGAUGACCAGCCACACUGGAACUGAGACACGGUCCAGACUCCUACGGGAGGCAGCAGUGGGGAAUAUUGCACAAUGGGCGCAAGCCUGAUGCAGCCAUGCCGCGUGUAUGAAGAAGGCCUUCGGGUUGUAAAGUACUUUCAGCGGGGAGGAAGGGGAUGUGGUUAAUAACCGCAUCCAUUGACGUUACCCGCAGAAGAAGCACCGGCUAACUCCGUGCCAGCAGCCGCGGUAAUA